rnacentral:misc_RNA from 1 species
GUUUACGUGAGUGAUAUGGCAAUAUUUAGUGAAAUCAACGUUAGAUGGCCUUGUGUAAUCUUAAGUUUGUGACAACAUUAUAUUCAGCAGUAUUUGUGCUUCGUCGUUAUUUGAUUAGAAAAUAUAAGACUAAGACCGUGAAAGCAUGGACAGAAAUUUUUAUACGUAACGUGACACUCAAAAGGUUUUGCAUGAGAAAGUUUCAAAGUAAACAUGGAAUGCCUUAUCUUCAAAAGGAUUCACAAGAUUGUGAGGAGAGCUUCGAGUCGAAAGUCUCAUGAAGAGUCUAGAACAGUGUAUGUUGGCCAUAGGCAUCCACCAGGUAAAGAAGAUGAAUUAGAAGGAAAGUUUCCAGACAACACUGUAGUUUCUUCUAAGUACACUUUAUGGAACUUUAUCCCAAAGAAUCUAUUUGAACAAUUUCGAAGAAUUGCCAACUUUUACUUCCUGUGUAUAGCUGUAAUACAACUCAGCAUAAACAGCCCUGUCAGCCCACUGACCAGCCUAGCGCCACUCAUAUUUGUUGUAACUGUAACUGCCAUCAAACAAGGUUAUGAAGACUGGUUGAGGCAUAGAGCAGACCGCUUAGUGAAUCAAACACUUGUUCGUGUCAUUAGAGGUAGAAAAAUAGACAGGAUUAAAUCUCAAGACAUAAGGGUUGGAGAUAUUGUCAUGGUGAAAUCUAAUGAGGAAUUCCCUUGUGAUCUUGUGAUGCUUUCAUCUAGUAAUAAAGAAGGACAUUGUCAUAUCACAACUGCUAACCUUGAUGGAGAAACUAACCUCAAGGUUCAUGAGUGUCUUCCAGAAACUCAAACGUACCAGACAACAGAAUGUCUAAAUACAUUGAUUGCUUUCAUUGAGUGCCAAAACCCAACACCUAAUCUUUACAAAUUUAUUGGCAAAAUGACAUUGUACAGAAAUGCUAGUGAAAAUACUGUUUGCUCUUUAGGCCCUGUUAAUUUAUUGUUGAAAGGAGCCAGACUUAAAAACACUGACUUUAUUUUUGGUUGUGCUGUAUAUACAGGUUUUGAAACAAAGUUGUCUUUGAAUCUAAGAUUGACAUCUAAUAAAUUUUCUACUGUAGAAAGGUCCAUGAAUAAAUUCCUGUUGUUUUUCUUAGUGUUGCUAGUCACUGAAGUUUCCAUUGCAACAGGAUUGAGAUAUUUCUAUAUAAGAGAUCCUGUUUUAGGGGUCUCAUGGUAUCUACAAUCAAACUUAAACACAAGUGCAAGAGAAGUUUUUACCGAUUUUCUUGCGUUUCUAGUUUUGUUCAAUUACAUAAUACCAAUUUCUUUAUAUGUAACUAUUGAAAUGGUGAAGUUUUUUGGUGUUAUGUUUCUAACAUGGGAUGGUGAACUAUAUGAUGAAAAUUCGAAUGAAUGUGCAAAGUGCAAUAGCUCAGACCUAAAUGAAGAACUUGGUCAAGUACAGUAUUUGUUCACUGACAAAACAGGAACUUUAACAGAAAAUGACAUGGUUUUUCGACAUUCUUCCAUCGAUGGUGUUAAGUACACUGAGCAUGGUGGUAUGCUUUGCAAAGUUGCUGAAUCAUUCCGUAGUGCUCCUGAACCAGUUUUCCAUUAUUCGGGUCCAGUUGAAGAUUUUCUUCUUGUCUUGGCUGUUUGUAACACAGUCCAGGUGUAUGUAAAAAAUUUAAGUAAUGGUUUCACAAUUGAAAUUAGCAAUAACUGUGAGGAGACUAAUCCAGAGUAUCAUGCAUCAUCACCAGAUGAGAAAGCUUUUGUAGAAGCCUGUUACAGGUUUGGAGUUAUUCUUCAUGGUUUUGUUGAGGAUAACUGUGUUGUGACAUUCCAAAAGAAGAGAAGAAAGCUCAAGAGACUUCAUGUGUUGGAGUUUGAUUCUAACAGGAAAUGUAUGUCUGUGAUAGUUAAAACUGAAGACGGGAGAAUAUUUUUGUUUUGCAAGGGAGCUGAAUCUGCAUUACUUAGUAAAUGUAUUUCAGGACCAGUAGAUGUUACCUUACAGCACAUAAAUGAUUAUGCCAUGGAAGGGUUGCGAACAAUGGUUAUUGCACAGAGAGAGCUCUCAGAAGAGGAGUUUCAUAUAUUUGAUAAAAAAAUUAGAAAAGCCCGAACUGAAAUGACAGAUAGGGAGAAUAAAGUAUCAAAAGUCAUUAAUGAAAUAGAAAGGAAUCUGACACUGUUGGGAGCUACUGGUGUAGAAGAUAAACUACAGGAAGGCGUUUGUGAAACGUUAGCUGCCCUAAGGGCUGCCGGUAUCAAGGUUUGGGUGCUGACUGGGGAUAAAGGAGAAACUGCAGUUAACAUCAGUUACUCAUCAGGACACUUUCAGCGAGGCAUGGUACUCAUGAAGCUUUUACACCAGGAAUCAAGUAGUCAAUGUCAAAGAGAAAUAAUAAACAUAAAGAAUAUAAUAGAGAGGGAACCAAUGAGCAGUUAUGCCUUAGUUGUAGAUGGACACUCACUGGCCUUUGCUCUCCACCAUCAUCGUGAUAUCUUUUAUGAAAUAUGUCGACAGUGCACUGCGGUGUUGUGUUGUCGCAUGUCACCCAUACAAAAAGCUGAGAUUGUGAAGUUUAUCAAGUUAGAACCUGAAGCACCAAUUACAGCUGCAAUUGGGGAUGGGGCUAAUGAUGUUAGCAUGAUUCAAGAAGCUCAUGUUGGUCUUGGCAUUAUGGGUAAAGAAGGUAGACAGGCUGUACGAUGUAGUGAUUUUGCUUUUGCUCGUUUUCGUUUCUUGCAACGCAUACUACUUGUUCAUGGCCAUUAUUACUACAUUCGUGUUUCAACAUUGGUGCAGUAUUUCUUUUACAAGAAUAUAGCUUUCAUCACACCUCAAGUAUAUUAUGCAUUCUUUAAUGCCUUUUCUGCCCAGACAUUAUACCACAGCAUUUACCUUAUGUUCUUCAACAUUUUCUUCACCUCCCUUCCUAUUAUCAUCUAUGGCUUGUCAGAGCAGCAUAUAAGUCAGAAAACCUUACUCGAGAACCCUCACUUGUACAGACUUUAGGUUUAUGGAGUUUUGGCACAGCAAUGUUUCACACACUUGUUAUUACUAUUAACUUCAAGCUGUGCUUGCACACCAGGUACUGGACAGGAUUGUUUAUAUUUUCAGUAUUUAUUACUAUCAUUGGUUU